CUCUGGGGGACAGUAGGGGCCGGUCGGGGACCUGGGGAGCAGGUCCCAGCUGAUCUGGUCCCUGAAAAAGGUCAGACGGUUGAACUUGACCAGAGGAAUGUGCCAGAUUUCCCCAUGAGGAAAGAGAAACGGAGAGAUGCUCUCUAGGAAGCCUUAUAAAAUACUUCUGGAGGACCCCACGCCCACUGGGGUGGAACGUGGGGAGGAGGAGCAAUAGCUUUUUUCAAGUUCAGAUGAUCAGGGACCAGAAGCCUGGAACCCGUGUAUUGAAAUGCGCUACGGAACUACCACAGUUAGAACCGGGCGGAGCCGGCGCGUCACUCCCCGGCGGCGUCUCUGCGACACCAGGAAGUCCAGCAGCGGGUCCGAGCGUGCCUCGUUCGAGGGUGUGGUGGACUCACGAGAAAACAAAAGCUGGCCUGUGUCACCCACGGUUCACAGACCCAAAGAUGACUGUGCAUGUGAAUGUUUACCUGAUAUCAGAGCAGAAAAAGCCCCCCAAGAUUCUCUCUAAA